GCUUGCUGUGCUUGAAUUGGAGAUUCGGAAGCGCACCUGCUCGAUGGCACUUUUUACAAGUGGAUCAUUAGGACUCACGGAAGGAUGAACAACAAACUCUACCUGUUAAAAGCAGAAAAAAUAAACAAGAGAGAUGAAGCCUGACAUGCAAGACUCAGAGUUGUUUUGCAUAAGACAGUCUCAAGCCAAAACAGUGACAAGGAAGUCCCAGCUCUGAUCAACCCCAGCGUGCUUUACCUUAAAGACUCUGACUAUCCAAAUGGUUGACACAAAAGUUCCAACACGACUAUGAGAAGAACAUGUUCUUCUCCAUCCAUGUCUGCAGAUCCCACAUGAUGUCAGUUAUGUUAAGGAGGCUCUACGUGCAACCAUUUGUGAGAAACUAAGCUUCUA